CAGGUAGGGAAUCUUCCACAAUGGGCGAAAGCCUGAUGGAGCAACGCCGCGUGUGUGAUGAAGGGUUUCGGCUCGUAAAACACUGUUGUAAGAGAAGAAUGACAUUGAGAGUAACUGUUCAAUGUGUGACGGUAUCUUACCAGAAAGGAACGGCUAAAUACGUGCCAG
rnacentral:rRNA from 1 species